rnacentral:rRNA from 1 species
ACUCAAAGGAAUUGACGGGGACCCGCACAAGCGGUGGAGCAUGUGGUUUAAUUCGAGGCAACGCGAAGAACCUUACCAGGCCUUGACAUGUCCAGUUUGAUCGCCAGAGAUGGCUUUCUUCACUUCGGGUGGCUGGAACACAGGUGCUGCAUGGCUGUCGUCAGCUCGUGUCGUGAGAUGUUGGGUUAAGUCCCGCAACGAGCGCAACCCUCGUCCUUAGUUGCCAUCAUUAAGUUGGGAACUCUAAGGAAACUGCCUAUGAUAAGUAGGAGGAAGGUGGGGACGACGUCAAGUCAUCAUGGCCCUUACGGCCUGGGCUACACACGUGCUACAAUGGUAGUGACAAUGGGAAGCAACCCUGCGAGGGGAAGCAAAUCUCCAAAAACUAUCUCAGUUCGGAUUGUACUCUGCAACUCGAGUACAUGAAGUUGGAAUCGCUAGUAAUCGUAGAUCAGCAUGCUACGGUGAAUACGUUCCCGGGUCUUGUACACACCGCCCGU